UACGUAGGGUCCGAGCGUUGUCCGGAAUUAUUGGGCGUAAAGGGCUCGUAGGCGGUUCGUCACGUCGGGAGUGAAAACUCGGAGCUUAACUCCGAGCCUGCUUCCGAUGACGGGCAGACUAGAGGUAGGCAGGGGAGAGCGGAACUCCUGGUGUAGGCGGUAGGAAUGCGCAGAUAUCAGGAAGAACACCGGUGGCGAAGGCGGCUCUCUGGGCCUUACCUGACGCUGAGGAGCGAAAGCGUGGGUAGCGAACAGG
rnacentral:rRNA from 1 species